GACGAACGCUGGCGGCGUGCUUAACACAUGCAAGUCGAACGGAAAGGCCCUGCUUUUGUGGGGUGCUCGAGUGGCGAACGGGUGAGUAACACGUGAGUAACCUGCCCUUGACUUUGGGAUAACUUCAGGAAACUGGGGCUAAUACCGGAUAGGAGCUCCUGCUGCAUGGUGGGGGUUGGAAAGUUUCGGCGGUUGGGGAUGGACUCGCGGCUUAUCAGCUUGUUGGUGGGGUAGUGGCUUACCAAGGCUUUGACGGGUAGCCGGCCUGAGAGGGUGACCGGCCACAAUGGGACUGAGAUAGGGCCCAGACGCCUACGGGAGGCAGUAGGGGGGAAUAUUGCACAGUGGGCGGAAGCCUGAUGCAGCAACGCCGCGUGCGGGAUGACGGCCUUCGGGUUGUAAACCGCUUUCGCCUGUGACGAAGCGUGAGUGACGGUAAUGGGUAAAGAAGCACCGGCUAACUACGUG
rnacentral:rRNA from 1 species